UUAGGGAGCAGUGGGGAAUAUUGGACAAUGGGCGCAAGCCUGAUCCAGCCAUGCCGCGUGUGUGAUGAAGGCCUUAGGGUUGUAAAGCACUUUCACCGAUGAAGAUAAUGACGGUACCCGCAAAAUAAGCCCCGGCUAACUUCGUGCCAGCAGCCGCGGUAAUACGAAGGGGGCUAGCGUUGUUCGGAAUCACUGGGCGUAAAGCGCACGUAGGAGGAUGUGCCAGUCAGGGGUGAAAUCCCGGAGCUCAACUCCGGAACUGCCUCUGAUACAGUACGUCUUGAAUCUGAUAUAGGUGGGUGGAAUUCCUAGUGUAGAGGAGAAAUUCGUAUAUAUUAGGAAGAACAUCGGUGGCGA
rnacentral:rRNA from 1 species